UAUCUAAAGGAGCAUUUCUAUGUAGACUAGGUUACGGAAACCAGUGUGGAGGUGCUUUUUCUCCAUG
rnacentral:pre_miRNA from 1 species